GCACAAGCGGCGGAGCAUGCGGAUUAAUUCGAUGCAACGCGAAGAACCUUACCAAGGCUUGACAUAUACGAGAACGCUGCAGAAAUGUAGAACUCUUUGGACACUCGUAAACAGGUGGUGCAUGGUUGUCGUCAGCUCGUGUCGUGAGAUGUUGGGUUAAGUCCCGCAACGAGCGCAACCCUCGUUCUAUGUUGCCAGCACGUAAUGGUGGGAACUCAUGGGAUACUGUCGGGGUCAACUCGGAGGAAGGUGGGGAUGACGUCAAAUCAUCAUGCCCCUUAUGUCUUGGGCUUCACGCAUGCUACAAUGGCCGGUACAAAGGGCUGCAAUACCGUAAGGUGGAGCGAAUCCCAAAAAGCCGGUCCCAGUUCGGAUUGAGGUCUGCAACUCGACCUCAUGAAGUCGGAGUCGCUAGUAAUCGCAGAUCAGCAACGCUGCGGUGAAUACGUUCCCGGGUCUU
rnacentral:rRNA from 1 species